AGAGUUUGAUCCUGGCUCAGGAUGAACGCUUGCGGCGUGCUUAACACAUGCAAGUCGAACGAAGCAAUUUAGCGGAAGUUUUCGGAUGGAAGCUAAAUUGACUGAGUGGCGGACGGGUGAGUAACGCGUGGGUAACCUGCCUCACACUGGGGGACAACAGUUAGAAAUGACUGCUAAUACCGCAUAAGCGCACAGGAUCGCAUGGUCUAGUGUGAAAAACUCCGGUGGUGUGAGAUGGACCCGCGUUUGAUUAGCUAGUUGGUGGGGUAACGGCCUACCAAGGCGACGAUCAAUAGCCGACCUGAGAGGGUGACCGGCCACAUUGGGACUGAGACACGGCCCAAACUCCUACGGGAGGCAGCAGUGGGGAAUAUUGCACAAUGGGGGAAACCCUGAUGCACCGACGCCGCGUGAGUGAAGAAUUUUUUCGGUAUGUAAAGCUCUAUCCAGCAGGGAAGAAAAUGACGGUACCUCGACUAUAACCCCCGGCUAACUCCGUGCCAGCAGCCGCGGUAAUACGUAGGGGGCAAGCGUUAUUCGGAUUUACUGGGCGUAAAGGGCGCGCAGGCGGUUAGUCAAGUCUGAAGUGAAAUCCCCGGGCUCAACCUGGGAACUGCUUCGGAUACUGUCUAGCUAGAGUGUCGUAGAGGGAGGUAGAAUUCCAAGUGUAGCGGUGAAAUGCGUAGAUAUUUGGAGGAACACCGGUGGCGAAGGCGGCCCCCUGGACGAAGACUGACGCUCAGGCGCGAAAGCGUGGGGAGCAAACAGGAUUAGAUACCCUGGUAGUCCACGCCGUAAACGAUGAAUAGCAGGUGUUGUGUGCCCAUAGUCCUUCGGUGCCGUCGCAAACGCAAUAAGUAUUCCACCUGGCGAGUACGUUCGCAAGAAUGAAACUCAAAGGAAUUGACGGGGACCCGCACAAGCGGUGGAGCACGUGGUUUAAUUUGAAGCAAUGCGAAGAACCUUGACAAGUCUUGACAUCCCUCUGACCGGCGAGUAACGUCGCCUUUCCUUCGGGGCAGAGGAGACAGGUGGUGCAUGGUCGUCGUCAGCUCGUGUCGUGAGAUGUUGGGUUAAGUCCCGCAACGAGCGCAACCCUUAUCCUAAGUAGCCAGCAGUUCGGCUGGGCAGUCUUGGGAGACUGCCAGGGAUAACCUGGAGGAAGGGGGGGAGGACGUCAAAUCAUCAUUCCCCUCCUGAUUUGGGCUACACACGUGCUACAAUGGCGUAAACAAAGAGAAGCGAGGCCGCGAGGUUGAGCAAAUCUCAAAAAUAACGUCUCAGUUCGGUCUGCAGGCUGCAACUCGCCUGCACGAAGCUGGAAUCGCUAGUAAUCGCGAAUCAGAAUGUCGCG
rnacentral:rRNA from 1 species